GUGGUCGUAGCUCAAUGGCAGAGUGCGAGGUUGUGGCCCUCGUGACACGGGAUCGUAACCCGUUGGCCACC
rnacentral:tRNA from 1 species